GUUUGGGUGGCCGAGUGGUUAAGGCGUUAGGCCUGACCAGAGAUGUUAUUGAAUUUAGAGGUUGGUUCGAAUCCUGGUUCGAAUC